AGAGUUUGAUCAUGGCUCAGGAUGAACGCUGGCGGCGUGCCUAACACAUGGCAAGUCGAACGGGGUGUCUGAUCUUCGGACUGGACACUAGUGGCGGACGGGUGAGUAACGCGUGGGUAACCUGCCUCAGUACAGGGGGAUAGCAGUUGGAAACGACUGAUAAUACCGCAUAAGCGCACAGUACCGCAUGGUACAGUGUGAAAAAACUCCGGUGGUAUGAGAUGGACCCGCGUCUGAUUGGCUUGUUGGCGGGGUAACGGCCCACCAAGGCGACGAUCAGUAGCCGGCCUGAGAGGGUGAACGGCCACAUUGGGACUGAGACACGGCCCAAACUCCUACGGGAGGCAGCAGUGGGGAAUAUUGCACAAUGGGGGAAACCCUGAUGCAAGCGACGCCGCGUGAAGGAUGAAGUAUUUCGGUAUGUAAACUUCUAUCAGCAGGGAAGAUGAUGACGGUACCUGACUAAGAAGCCCCGGCUAACUACGUGCCAGCCGCCGC
rnacentral:rRNA from 1 species